AGUUUCUGUACGAUUUGGAACGAAAGGGCAAAAUAGGGUUAAUUGACAGGUGUGUAAAUGAAGGUUUACUUAGUAGCCGUUAUAAGUGCCCUGUAUAUAGGAAGGAUAUGCGUCUAGUCGAACGUAAAAAGCCGUUUAGAUGUAUUUGAAUGGGUUUUUUGGAAGAAAGGUUCAGAUGUGGCGACGCUGAUAUACGGAUUCGAGUUCAGAUAAUUUUAGGAAGUUUUUGGAUGCUGUUAAGGAAGUUUGCGUGCCACAGACUAAAGACCAAGGAACUUCUAAAUAGGGAAGAAUAUGUGCGGUAUGUCCUAUAACUAUGAAAAAGCUGCUACAAGUGCUUUCAAAACAUAAGAACACAUUGAACUGUUUUAUUUCAACGCGAUGUAGUAGCGGAAAGGAACAAUUUUCAGUCGACCUCCAGCCGCGAUGAUGUUAGCUUGCCAUGUAUUUAGAUGCCUCAGUAAUUCGAAUGUUUAAUAUGUUUUAUUUUAUGUCUAUUUUGUUUGUACCCGUUUCUGCGUGCUCUGUCAAUAAAUACUUUUAGAGCUA